rnacentral:rRNA from 1 species
UACGUAGGGAGCAAGCGUUGUCCGGAAUCAUUGGGCGUAAAGCGCGCGUAGGUGGCUUCGUAAGUCCGUUGUGAAAGUCAAAGGCUCAACCUUUGAAAGCCGAUGGAUACUGUGAAGCUAGAGUACGGAAGAGGCGAGUGGAAUUCCUGGUGUAGCGGUGAAAUGCGCAGAUAUCAGGAGGAACACCAAUUGCGAAGGCAGCUCGCUGUGACGUGACUGACGCUGAGACGCGAAAGCGUGGGGAGCAAACAGG